rnacentral:rRNA from 1 species
CCUACGGGAGGCAGCAGUGGGGAAUAUUGCACAAUGGGGGAAACCCUGAUGCAGCAACGCCGCGUGAGUGAAGAAGUAUUUCGGUAUGUAAAGCUCUAUCAGCAGGGAAGAAGAAAGACGGUACUUGACUAAGAAGCCCCGGCUAACUACGUGCCAGCAGCCGCGGUAAGACGUAGGGGGCAAGCGUUAUCCGGAUUUACUGGGUUUAAAGGGAGCGUAGACGGUUGUGUAAGUCUGAAGUGAAAGCCCGUGGCUCAACCGCGGAACUGCUUUUGAAACUGUAAAGCUUGAGUACUGGAGAGGCAGGCGGAAUUCCUGGUGUAGCGGUGAAAUGCGUAGAUAUUAGGAGGAACACCGGUGGCGAAGGCAGCUUGCUAAACAGAAACUGACAUUGAUGCUCGAAAGCGUGGGGAGCAAACAGGAUUAGAUACCCUAGUAGUC